UCUUUGAACCACCUCUUCACGCAAUCCGAUACAACCUCUGAUAGAGGCAGGCGCGUGCUGCUGUUGCCGUUGCCACUACAGCUGUUGACGUUUACUAUAUCGGCGCUGCUUUCCAUCUUCUUCGACUUGUCUCCGCCUGGGCGCUGAGUUCGGGAUGUGGGUUUUGCGUGUUUUGAGGGUUUUAGAUGCUUCGCAAGAUUGUGAAUCCU
rnacentral:misc_RNA from 1 species